UGCGUAGGCGGGUUUUUAAGUCAGAGGUGAAAUCCUGGAGCUCAACUCCAGAACUGCCUUUGAUACUGAGAAUCUUGAGUUCGGGAGAGGUGAGUGGAACUGCGAGUGUAGAGGUGAAAUUCGUAGAUAUUCGCAAGAACACCAGUGGCGAAGGCGGCUCACUGGCCCGAUACUGACGCUGAGGCACGAAAGCGUGGGGAGCAAACA
rnacentral:rRNA from 1 species